rnacentral:rRNA from 1 species
AAGUCGUAACAAGGUUUCCGUAGGUGAACAUUAUUAUUGCAGGUUCGCCAAAACAGAAAGUCUCUCAGCAGGCAACAUCUCUACUGUGCUGGAAUUUACUGUGGGUAAUACCAGCAGCCUAAGAAUGGGCUCACAGAUCAAAUGGAGGUGGCCCUUUGGGGUUGAGAGUUGAUCGGGGGGUUGCUAUCAGUAGCAGCUAUACUUCCGCUGCGGAAGGAUCAUUACCGAGAUAAUAUGCUCUCUUCAGAGUAUGUCUCCCACCCUUUGUUUACAAUACUUUAGUUGCUUUGGCAGGCCUGUCUUUGGGCUACCGGCUAUGCUGGUCAGUGCCUGCCAGAGGACCCCAAACUCGCUGUAAUUUGCUGUCUGAGUACUAUAAAUUAAGUUAAAACUUUCAACAACGGAUCUCUUGGUUCUGGCAUCGAUGAAGAACGCAGCGAAAUGCGAUAAGUAAUGUGAAUUGCAGAAUUCAGUGAAUCAUCGAAUCUUUGAACGCACAUUGCACCUUCUGGUAUUCCAGGAGGUAUGUCUGUUCGAGCGUCAUUACAACCCUCNAGCUCUAGCUUGNUAUUGGAUGNCACUAAUCUGGUGCAUCUCAAAAGCAGUGGCGGUGCCAUUCAGCUUCAAGCGCAGUAAAUCUCUCGCUGUGGAGUCUGGGUGCAGUGCCUGCCAGAACCCCUAAAUUCAAAGGUUGACCUCGGAUCAGAUAGGGAUACCCGCUGAACUUAAGCAUAUCANUAAGCGGAGGAAAAGAAACCAACAGGGAUUGCCUCAGUAACGGCGAGUGAAGCGGCAACAGCUCAAAUUUGAAAUCUGGCCUUUGGGUCUGAGUUGUAAUUUGUAGGAGAUGCUUCGGGCAUGGUCCGGUCUAAGUUCCUUGGAACAGGACGUCAUAGAGGGUGAGAAUCCCGUAUGUGACUGGGUGCCUAAGCUCAUGUGAAGCUCUUCCGACGAGUCGAGUUGUUUGGGAAUGCAGCUCAAAAUGGGUGGUAAAUUUCAUCUAAAGCUAAAUACUGGCCAGAGACCGAUAGCGCACAAGUAGAGUGAUCGAAAGAUGAAAAGCACUUUGGAAAGAGAGUUAAACAGUACGUGAAAUUGUUGAAAGGGAAGCGCUUGCAACCAGACUUGCAUACAGUUGAUCAUCCGAUGUUCUCACCGGUGCACUCAGUUGUAUUCAGGCCAGCAUCGGUUUCGGUGGUUGGAUAAAGUCCUAGGGAAUGUAGCUUCUUUCAGGGAGUGUUAUAGCCCUGGGUGCAAUACAGCCCACCGGGACCGAGGACCGCGCUUCGGCUAGGAUGCUGGCGUAAUGGUUGUAAGCGACC